rnacentral:rRNA from 1 species
AGAUUUGAGGGUGCCCGAAAGGGAGCGGUAACACAGGUGCUGCAUGGCUGUCGUCAGCUCGUGUCGUGAGAUGUUGGGUUAAGUCCCGCAACGAGCGCAACCCUUGUCAUUAGUUGCCAGCAUUAAGUUGGGCACUCUAAUGAGACUACCGGUGACAAACCGGAGGAAGGUGGGGAUGACGUCAAGUCCUCAUGGCCCUUAUGACCAGGGCUUCACACGUCAUACAAUGGUCGGUACAGAGGGUCGCUAAGCCGCGAGGUAGUGCCAAUCUCAUAAAACCGAUCGUAGUCCGGAUC